AUUGAACGCUGGCGGCAGGCCUAACACAUGCAAGUCGAACGAGUGGCGGACGGGUGAGUAAUGUCUGGGAAACUGCCCGAUGGAGGGGGAUAACUACUGGAAACGGUAGCUAAUACCGCAUACCAUCGGAUGUGCCCAGAUGGGAUUAGCUAGUAGGGGGGGGAACGGCUCAACUAGGCGAAGCUCCCUAGCUGGUCUGAGAGGAUGACCAGGCAACAGGGAACUUAGAAACGGUCCAGACUCCUACGGGAGGCAGCAGUGGGGAAUAUUGCAAAAUUGGCGAAAGCCUGAGGCAGCCAUGCCGCGUGUAUGAAGAAGGCCUUCGGGUUGGAAAGUACUUUCAGCGAGGAGGCGUUACUCGCAGAAGAAGCACCGGCUAACUCCGUGCCAGCAGCCGCGGUAAUAC
rnacentral:rRNA from 1 species